UUUUUUUUGUGUUUAGUUCAAGUACUCAUAUUUGCAUGUAGCAAAAAUAUGUAUCAAGAUAAAAUAAAAGGGCCAAAAAGGGUGUUUGAAAAUGGUAGUCUUGGAAAUAAAAAGGAAAUGAGGGUAAGAAAAUUUUGGCUUAUGUGUGAUGAAUGGUAUGUGAAGGACCUUUAUAUCAUAAAAAGAACCUUAAGAAAAAAUGUGGUCUUUUUUCCUUUUUUCUUUCUGUGGGGUUUGGUUGUAUUCAAUGGAAAGCAAAGGGAAACAGGAAAUAAACAUGAAAAUGUUAUGUUUUUGGGUCUUUUAAAGAAGCUGUGCCCUUACGACCUGCAGUAUCUUCAUAGUGUAACACUUUUU
rnacentral:lncRNA from 1 species